UUGUGCUGUUGUCUGUGCCCAAUAAUGUUUGUACCAUGUUUUGUGCUCCUACCAUGUUGUGCUGCCGCCAUGUUGUGUUGCUACCAUGUUGUUGUCAUGUUGUGUUGCGACAAUGCUGUGUUGUCAUGUGUUGCUGCUUUGCUAUGUUGUUGUCUUAGGUCUCUCUUUAUGUAGUGUUGUCUUAUGUCUCUCUUUAUGUCGUGUUGUCUUAGGUCUCUCUUUAUGUAGUGUUGUCUUAUGUCUCUCUUUAUGUCGUGUUGUCUUAGGUCUCUCUUUAUGUAGUGUUGUCUUAGGUCUCUCUUUAUGUAGUGUUGUCUUAUGUCUCUCUUUAUGUCGUGUUGUCUUAG
ensembl:lncRNA